rnacentral:piRNA from 1 species
UAACCGCGCUUGUUCUGUUUCCUUCUGAGC